GCCGAAAUAGUUCAGUUGGGAGCGUUAGACUGAAGAUCUAAAGGUCCUUGGUCCGAUCCCGGGUUUCGGCA
rnacentral:tRNA from 1 species